rnacentral:misc_RNA from 1 species
UCACCAGGUCGCUGCCGCGAGGGAGUUGCUGUGCUGGGGCCUGGGUGGCGGCUGGAGGCCUGAGUUGGGCUCGCGGCGGGGGUCGGCAGGGGGCCGGGUGGCGGAAUGAUGGAGGAGGAGGAACUGGAGUUCGUGGAGGAGCUGGAAGCCGUGCUGCAGCUCACGCCCGAGGUGCAGCUGGCCAUCGAGCAGGUGUUUCCAAGCCAGGACCCUCUAGAUCGAGCAGAUUUCAAUGCUGUUGAGUAUAUCAAUACCCUGUUCCCAACCGAGCAAAGUAAGAAUCACGAGGCACGGAAAGAUAACACUCGGCUUAAAUGUGAUAGCGUUGCCAUGAAGGAAGCAUGCCAAAUACAGUGACAGCAGAACCCAGGGCCUUACUUGCUCAAGAUGGAUUGAAAAGGCUUACUCCCUUGAGGAAAUGGUGUUUUAGCUGAAUACUACAGGCCAAGUUAAUAAUUUUUUUUUGAGAUGGGGUCUCACUCUCUUGCCCGGGCUAGAGUGCAGUGGCACAAUCAUAGCUCACUGCAACCUCAAAUUCCUGGACUCAAGCACUCCUCCCACUUCAGCCUCCUCAGUAGCUAGCACUACAGGUGUGUGCCACCACACCCAGCUGAGUAUUAUUAUUAUUUUGAGAUGGAGUCUUGCUUUGUCACCAGGUUGGGGUGGGGUGGUGCCAUCUCGGCUCACUGCAACCUCCCACUCCCUGGUUCAAGCAAUUCCCCUGUCUUAGCCUCCCGAGUAGCU